rnacentral:rRNA from 1 species
UACGUAGGGUGCAAGCGUUAAUCGGAAUUACUGGGCGUAAAGCGUACGCAGGCGGCUUUGCAAGACAGGUGUGAAAGCCCCGGGCUCAACCUGGGAACUGCAUUGGAAACUGGCGAGCUUGAGUAUGGCAGAGGGGGGUGGAAUUCCGCGUGUAGCAGUGAAAUGCGUAGAGAUGCGGAGGAACACCGAUGGCGAAGGCAGCCCCCUGGGCCAAUACUGACGCUCAGGCACGAAAGCGUGGGGAGCAAACAGG